AUGGUGAACUACAAGAAGGACGGGCGGAGACACCGCCUGAUCAUCAACGAGGCCACGCUGGAGGACACGGGGCACUACGCGUUGCGCACCAGCGGGGGCCAGGCGCUGGCUGAGCUCAUCGUGCAGGAAAAGAAGCUGGAGGUGUACCAGAGCGUCGCAGACCUGACGGUGGGCGCCAAGGACCAGGCAGUGUUCAAGUGUGAAGUCUCAGAUGAGAAUGUGCGGGGCGUGUGGCUGAAGAACGGGAAGGAGCUGGUGCCCGACAGCCGCAUAAAGGUGUCCCACAUCGGGCGGGUCCACAAACUGACCAUUGACGACGUCACACCUGCCGACGAGGCUGACUACAGCUUUGUGCCCGAGGGCUUCGCCUGCAACCUGUCAGCCAAGCUCCACUUCAUGGAGGUCAAGAUUGACUUCGUACCCACGCAGGAACCUCCCAAGAUCCACCUGGACUGCCCGGGCCGCAUACCAGACACCAUUGUGGUUGUAGCUGGAAAUAAGCUACGUCUGGACGUCCCUAUCUCUGGGGACCCUGCUCCCACCGUGAUCUGGCAGAAGGCCAUCACGCAGCUGCUGUGUGAGACCGAGGGCCGGGUCCGUGUGGAGACCACCAAUGACUGCAGCAUCUUCACCGUCGAGGGGGCAGAGAAGGAAGAUGAGGGCGUCUACACGGUCACGGUGAAGAACCCUGUGGGCGAGGACCGGGUCAACCUCACAGUCAAGGUCAUCGACGUGCCAGACGCACCUGCGGCCCCCAAGGUCAGCAACGUGGGAGAGGACUCCUGCACCGUUCAGUGGGAGCCGCCUGCCUACGACGGCGGGCAGCCGGUCCUGGGCUACAUCCUGGAGCGCAAGAAGAAGAAGAGCUACCGGUGGAUGCGGCUGAACUUCGACCUGAUUCAGGAGCUGAGCCACGAAGCGCGGCGCAUGAUCGAGGGCGUGGUGUACGAGAUGCGCGUCUACGCCGUCAACGCCAUUGGCAUGUCCAGGCCCAGCCCUGCCUCCCAGCCCUUCAUGCCCAUCGGUCCCCCCAGCGAACCCACCCACCUGGCAAUAGAGGACAUUUCUGACGCCACGGUCUCCCUCAAGUGGCGGCCCCCAGAGCGCGUGGGAGCAGGAGGCCUGGAUGGCUACAGCGUGGAGUACUGCCCAGAGGGCGGCUCAGAGUGGGUGGCUGCCCUGUGGGGGCUGACAGAGCACACGUCGAUACGGGUGAAGGACCUGCCCACGGGGGCCCGGCUGCUCUUCCGAGUGCGUGCACACAAUAUGGCAGGGCCCAGAGCCCCUCUUACCACCACGGAGCCGGUGACGGUGCAGGAGAUCCUGCAACGGCCACGGCUCCAGCUGCCCAGGCACCUGCGUCAGACCAUUCAGAAGAAGGUCAGGGAGCCUGUGAACCUCCUCAUCCCUUUCCAGGGCAAGCCCUGGCCUCAGGUGACCUGGACCAAAGAGGGGCAGCCCCUGGCAGGCGAGGAGGUGAGCGUCCGCAACAGCCCCACAGACACCAUCCUGUUCAUCCGGGCCGCUUGCCACGCGCAUUCAGGCACUUACCAAGUGACCGUGCGCAUUGAGAACAUGGAGGACAAGGCCACCCUGGUGCUGCAGGUUGUCGACAAGCCAAGUCCUCCCCAGGAUCUCCGGGUCACUGAGGCCUGGGGUCUUAAUGUGGCUCUGGAGUGGAAGCCACCCCAGGAUGAUGGCAACACGGAGCUCUGGGGGUACACAGCGCAGAAGGCCGACAAGAAGACCAUGGAGUGGUUCACCGUCUUGGAGCAUUACCGCCUCACCCACUGAGUGGUGCCAGAGCUCAUCAUUGGCAAUGGCUACUACUUUCGUGUCUUCAGCCAGAAUAUGGUUGGUUCCAGUGACACAGCGGCCACCACCAAGGAGCCCGUCUUUAUCCCCAGACCAGGCAUCACCUAUGAGCCACCCAACUAUAAGGCCCUGGACUUCUCUGAGGCCCCAAGCUUCACCCAGCCCCUGGUGAACCGCUCGGUCAUCGCAGGCUACACCACUAUGCUCUGCUGUGCUGUCCGGGGUAGCCCCAAGCCCAAGAUUUCCUGGUUCAAGAAUGGCCUGGACCUGGGAGAGGAUGCCCGCUUCCGCAUGUUCAGCAAGCAGAGAGUGUUGACUCUGGAGAUUAGAAAGCCCUGCCCCUUUGACGGAGGCAUCUAUGUCUGCAGGGCCACCAACUUACAGGGCGAGGCACAGUGUGAGUGCCGCCUGGAGGUGCGAGUGCCUCAGUGACCAGGCUGGCUCCUGGGGAUGGCCAGGUACAAGAUGCCAGCCUCAUACCAGGAGCCUGGAGGGAAGUUGGGGAAACUGCUCCCUGCUGUUGGAUGUGUGUGUGACAAGUGUGUCUCCUGGGCUGCGGUGGGGGAUCAGCAGGACAGCUAUGUUGGGCAGGCCUGAGUGGGUGUUGCACAGACUGGUCCACAGGGCUCCUGAAGGAAGCUCCUGGAUCUUUGGGGUAAAAGGAGGGUGACCUCAAGAAAGGAUGUCUGGGGACAGGCCUUUCUGGCCUGCUGUGUCUUCCCAAUGUGUACUGGGCAAUAAAAGAUUAAUGCAGUCACAGAAAAAAAAAA